AUUUAUAUAAUAUAAAAAAUUAUAUUUAGCUUCCAACUAAAAAAUCUAGAAUUUCUAGUAUAAAUA
rnacentral:tRNA from 1 species